GGUUCCUGUCCAACGUUAAUCGGGGCAGGGUGAGUCGACCCCUAAGGCGAGGCCGAAAGGCGUAGUCGAUGGGAAACGGGUUAAUAUUCCCGUACUUGGUGUUACUGCGAAGGGGGGACGGAGAAGGCUAUGUUGGCCGGGCGACGGUUGUCCCGGUUUAAGCGUGUAGGUGUGUGUUCCAGGUAAAUCCGGUUCACUUUAACACUGAGGCGUGAUGACGAGGCACUACGGUGCUGAAGCAACAAAUGCCCUGCUUCCAGGAAAAGCCUCUAAGCAUCAGGUAACAUCAAAUCGUACCCCAAACCGACACAGGUGGUCAGGUAGAGAAUACCAAGGCGCUUGAGAGAACUCGGGUGAAGGAACUAGGCAAAAUGGUGCCGUAACU
rnacentral:rRNA from 1 species